UCUUUCAUGUGAGUACUCUGGGUGCAAUAGCUCAAAUCCUAGCCUUCCAUUCAAUCUAAUGGUUCUAAAAUAACUCUACGUCAUCAAUCCGCGUCAACUUAGUAAAAAACAAUUUUAAUUCACUCUCAUUCCUUCUUUCUCUCAUUUUUUUCCUGUUCAUGUCUUUCUCUCUGCAACUUUUCACUCCUUAGUCCUCUCCUCUGUUCUCUCUAAUUUUCAAAAUUUUCAAAAAAUCCCGAUGUUGUUACCGCUUCGCUUGCGCUCUCGCGGCAAACUACCGUCAUCGUACGGACCAAGUCUCGAAUCAGCCACCAUUGCGCCACCCACCGGCCACCAUUUCUCUCCCCCAAUGAUCUAUCAGCCCCUGCUACGCCUCUGUCGGCUUCACUGCUUAGCAUCUCUAAACUACACUGCCAGCCCAAUCACUUCCCAAUGAGUUCUCUCUCUGACUUUCCAUAUAUAUUGGGAACACGAAAGAAAAUAAAUUGAAAUUGCAAUUUUUUUUUUUUUUUAGUUAGUUUUGAGAUUAAGGAUUGAAAUUAGAUGGUGGGUUUUUUGGCUAUGGGAUUUAUGGGUUCUUUUAAUCUGGGUUUUUUUUUUUUUUUUUUUUUUUUUUUUUUUUUUUUUUCAUUCUCACGGUGGUGAUUUGUACUAAGACCCAAGAAAUUGUUGAUGGGUAUAUUGUUUUGCUCGGUAUUAUGGGUUGGAUUAUUAAUUUGUUUAUUUUUGAACUUGAGCAGAAUUUAAUGCUUCUUCAUUGUUGAACUUGAAAGGCACUAUGAAUACCUUUAUCUAACUUAAGUUGGACAUAUAGGUGAUAUAUGUGGACAAUUUAGAGAUUUGUUUUAUUAUUAUUUUUUAAUAGGGUAUUGCAAUGAAGAUUAGGCAUAUCAAAAUCUGUUAGUGAUUGGAAUAAUUCAUUAUUACAGAAUUUGCAUCAAUGUGAAGUUCUAAAUUUAUACAUCAAUUUAGUGUGUUCAUUUGCAGUUAGAUGGCAUUAGUUUUGAUGAUGGAGAGUCUCCAUUGUAGACCUCUCAAAGUUGAAAAGGUGAUUUCUUGGAUGCAAUUGAGCACUAAACCUGUUUUUUCUGAAUUGGUGGCUCAAUAAUCUCAGCAUGGUUAUACAUAAGGGCUGGCACUAACGGGCUACCAUAGACAAGCCACUUGAGAUCGAAAAAGCAUAUGAUCUUGAAGCACACACACUUAUUUCCCUCUUUUCUUUGUGUGGAAAUUAUAUAUAUUCUACUAGCUAGUGGGAAAAAUUGGCCUUAUAAUCAAGGUCUAUAAUUCAGUAGAACUCUUGUUAUCUUGUUAUUUGGCAUUUUGAUCAAAGUAUACAUUUCAAUGAAAUUUGAACUCUAUUGGAACAAGUAUUUUUUGUUCCUUUUAUGUGUUUGUUUUAA